rnacentral:rRNA from 1 species
GUUAGGAAUAUUGGACAAUGGGCGCAAGCCUGAUCCAGCCAUGCCGCGUGAACGAUGAAGGCCUUCGGGUUGUAAAGUUCUUUAGCCGAUGAUUAUAAUGACUGUAGUCGGAAAAUAAGCCCCGGCUAACUUCGUGCCAGCAGCCGCGGUAAUACGAAGGGGGCGAGCGUUAUUCGGAAUCACUGGGCGUAAAGCGUGCGUAGGCGGUCUCGUAAGUUAGGAGUGAAAGCCCAGUGCUCAACCUUGGAAUUGCUCUUAAUACUGCAAGGCUAGAAUCUCGGAGAGGAUAGCGGAAUUUCCAGUGUAGCAGUGAAAUGCGUAGAUAUUGGAAGGAACACCAGUGGCGUAAGCGGCUAUCUGGACGAGUAUUGACGCUGAGGCACGAAAGCGUGGGGAUCAAACAGGAUUAGAAACCCCGGUAGUCC